CAACUUUCAACAACGGAUCUCUUGGCUCUCGCAUCGAUGAAGAACGCAGCGAAAUGCGAUAAGUAAUGUGAAUUGCAGAAUUCAGUGAAUCAUCGAAUCUUUGAACGCAA
rnacentral:rRNA from 1 species